rnacentral:tRNA from 2 species
CAGAGAAUAGUUUAAGUAAAAUAUUAGUUUUGGGGAUUAAUGAUAGGAAGAAUUUCUUUUCUCUGA